UCUCAUUCUCAUUGUGAGAAGAGGCGCACCUUGAGCGUACACGUUGGGACCCGAAAGAUGGUGAACUAUGCCUGGCGAGGACAAAGUCAGGGGAAACCCUGAUGGAGGUCCGUAGCGAUUCUGACGUGCAAAUCGAUCGUCGGAGCUGGGUAUAGGGGCGAAAGACUAAUCGAACCAUCUAGUAGCUGGUUCCCUCCGAAGUUUCCCUCAGGAUAGCUGGCAUUCGUAUCAAUAAAAUACGAGUCUCAUGCGGUAAAGCGAAUGAUUAGAGGCCUUGGGGCCGAAACGACCUCAACCUAUUCUCAAACUUUAAAUGG
rnacentral:rRNA from 1 species